CCUACGGGAGGCUGCAGUGAGGAAUAUUGGUCAAUGGCCGCAGGCCUGAACCAGCCAAGUCGCGUGAGGGAUGACUGUCCUACGGAUUGUAAACUUCUUUUGUCAGGGAGUAAAGUGCGCCACGUGUGCCGCUUUGCGUGUACUUGAUGAAAAAGCAUCGGCUAACUCCGUGCCAGCAGCCGCGGUAAUACGGAGGAUGCGAGCGUUAUCCGGAUUUAUUGGGUUUAAAGGGUGCGGAGAUGGGCUUUUAAGUCAGGGGUGAAAGUUUGAGGCUCAACCGCAGAGGUGCCUUUGAUACUGGCAGUCUUGAGUACGCGAGAGGUAUGCGGAAUGCGUGGUGUAGCGGUGAAAUGCAUAGAUAUCACGCAGAACUCCGAUUGCGAAGGCAGCAUACCAACGUGCAACUGACGCUCAUGCACGAAAGCGUGGGUAUCGAACAGGAUUAGAUACCCGUGUAGUC
rnacentral:rRNA from 1 species